GCAACAUUGAAUUAUAAGAAAUGGGCAAAAGAAAUUGCAAACGGGCUAAACUACGUCCAUGAGAGGGGUCUCGUACAUCGACAUCUUAAAUUGGAAAAUGUUCUGAUAAAAGACAACGACGUAGCAGCGAUAUCUGAUGUUGGAAUUGUUGGUGAAAUCAAGGAAACUGAAAAAAGUAUCAUUUACCAUGCACCAGAAGUACUGGAAAACUUGCAUCAUAUGACAAAAGCUGCAGAUAUUUACAGUUUUGGUAUCAUGCUUUGGGAGAUGUGGUAUGGUGUCGUGGCUUUCGAGGAACUCAUGCCACUUGUGAAAGAGGAAUUCAAAUCAAAGGUCAUCAAAGGUCACAGACCAAAAAAUGACCAAAAUAAAAUUACCAUUCCCAUGAUGCAAAAUUUGAUGACGUUUUGCUGGUUGCAUAAACAUGAUCAAAGACCGACAAGUAAAAUGUGUUUUCAAAUGUUAGAAAAUUAAAAAGUUGGAAGAACAUCACGAGGUCCUAGGAAGUUUUCAUUUACAAACUAUAUGAUGUGUUAUCCAUUUGCGCAUGAAAUAAAUCACGAGGUCCUAGGAAGUUUUCAUUUACAAACUAUAUGACGUGCUAUCCAUUUGCGCAUGAAAUAAAUUACGAGGUCCUAGGAAGUUUUCAUUUACAAACGAUAUGACGUGUUAGCCAUAUGCGUUAGCCAUACGUGUUAGCCAUAUGAAAUAAAUAAGCGUUUUAAUACUUUAUCAAUAUUAGAUUUUAAUUAUCGUGUUAAAAAUAUGUAGAAGUUUUUAUGGCUUAUAAUGUGUUAAUAAAUGCCAUAGAAACGCAUUAGAUAGAGUUUGAGAUGGCCAUACUGUUUCUAAAUUUCAGAAAAUAAAUAUAUGGAUCGGGCACACAGCUACUUCGUAAAUUUUGCUAAACUACAUAUGAUAUCAACUUUGUGAACCAAUGAUAUGUUUAAUAAACCUUUUGCUUAAGAAUUAUCAUAUAAUUGCCUUAAAACGCAAUAAUUUCGUAAUAUGAGUCAAAUAGAUCGAUACUGCAUAUAAAUCAAAACGUUUACAGACUUUAUAUGGUACCGUUUUCAAGGAAAUCUAAUUACGUGAACAGAGAUUUCAGAUGACAAUCCACGUAAAAAAACUAUGUGCAGACUGCAGUGGUCAAAUAAUUCAUUCAAAAUAUAAAAAUUUUUGGUCAUUUGUA